rnacentral:tRNA from 1 species
GGGCCAGUAGCUCAGUUGGUAGAGCGCACCCCUCGCACGGGUGAGGUCAGGGGUUCAAUUCCCCUCUGGUCCACCA